AUUGAACGCUGGCGGCAUGCUUUACACAUGCAAGUCGAACGGGGUGAGGGGGCAACUCCUCAUUCAGUGGCGAACGGGUGAGUAAUGCAUCGGAACGUGCCCCGUAGUGGGGGAUAACUCGGCGAAAGCCGUGCUAAUACCGCAUAUGCUCUACGGAGGAAAGUGGGGGAUCCGCAAGGACCUCACGCUAUGGGAGCGGCCGAUGUCCGAUUAGCUUGUUGGCGGGGUAAGGCCCACCAAGGCGACGAUCGGUAGCUGGUCUGAGAGGAUGAUCAGCCACACUGGGACUGAGACACGGCCCAGACUCCUACGGGAGGCAGCAGUGGGGAAUUUUGGACAAUGGGGGCAACCCUGACGCAGCAACGCCGCGUGGAGGAUGAAGGUCUUUGGAUUGUAAACUCCUUUCGAUCGGGACGAUUAUGACGGUACCGGAAGAAGAAGCACCGGCUAACUCUGUGCC
rnacentral:rRNA from 1 species